rnacentral:lncRNA from 1 species
UAUAAACAAGAGUUGUAAAUAUUGGUACCUGAAACAAACGUAUGGCUUAAAUGUAACAAGAAAAACUUCAGAUGCAUACUUGCUGGGACUAGAUAAAAAGACAGUGGCUGAAGUGAGGACAAAGGAGUGUAAUCUUGUGGAUAGCAGAGGGUGGGACUGAGGAACCAUGAGAUACACUGUGGUAAAAACCAUUAGAACUGGGAAGCUUCAUGAAAGCUGGAUCAGUAUAAGUGGUGUCUUUCAUCGAUGUCUGGUGAGACCAAUUGCUGAUAACGGUUAGUGUGUUGUUUGUUUCAGUUGAAAUAGUCUAACCUGCAUUGUAUGAUUCUACCUUACCCUGGUGCAAUGUAUGCCUUGUGAACAGCCUUCCUUUUUUUUUUUUUUUUUUUUUUUUCUGUUGUUGUUGUUGUUGGAUUGGGCAUUUAUUUCUCAGCAUUUCCCCGACAGGAUAUUUAAUUGAGACUUAAGACUUAAUCAGGAUAACAAGAAAGGUAGUUAUGGAAUAGAAGUAGAGGGGAAGUAUGAGGAUGUUUAGAGGUUGAAUAUUACCCAACAGGGAUGAGUGUGGAUAAAGCACUAAACAAGGUGGCUUAGUAACAUUGAAGCCUUGGAUUGUUGGGAUAUGUGUCACCAAGAGAGGAGAGAAGACCACUGUUAUUUUGAUCAGUGUUAUUUCUACCUGAACUAUGAAACUACCAAAACUUACUGAGAUGUAAUAGAAAGAAUCUCAGAUAGAAAGUUAA